AUUGAACGCUGGCGGCAGGCCUAACACAUGCAAGUCGAACGGUAACAGGAAACAGCUUGCUGUUUCGCUGACGAGUGGCGGACGGGUGAGUAAUGUCUGGGAAACUGCCUGAUGGAGGGGGAUAACUACUGGAAACGGUAGCUAAUACCGCAUAACGUCGCAAGACCAAAGAGGGGGACCUUCGGGCCUCUUGCCAUCGGCUGUGCCCAGAUGGGAUUAGCUAGUAGGUGGGGUAACGGCUCACCUAGGCGACGAUCCCUAGCUGGUCUGAGAGGAUGACCAGCCACACUGGAACUGAGACACGGUCCGGACUCCUACGGGAGGCAGCAGUGGGGAAUAUUGCACAAUGGGCGCAAGCCUGAUGCAGCCAUGCCGCGUGUAUGAAGAAGGCCUUCGGGUUGUAAAGUACUUUCAGCGGGGAGGAAGGGAGUAAAGUUAAUACCUUUGCUCAUUGACGUUACCCGCAGAAGAAGCACCGGCUAACUCCGUGCCAGCAGCCGCAGUAA
rnacentral:rRNA from 1 species